AAAUUGAAGAGUUUGAUCAUGGCUCAGAUUGAACGCUGGCGGCAGGCCUAACACAUGCAAGUCGAACGGUAACAGGAAGCAGCUUGCUGCUUUGCUGACGAGUGGCGGACGGGUGAGUAAUGUCUGGGAAACUGCCUGAUGGAGGGGGAUAACUACUGGAAACGGUAGCUAAUACCGCAUAACGUCGCAAGACCAAAGAGGGGGACCUUCGGGCCUCUUGCCAUCGGAUGUGCCCAGAUGGGAUUAGCUUGUUGGUGGGGUAACGGCUCACCAAGGCGACGAUCCCUAGCUGGUCUGAGAGGAUGACCAGUCACACUGGAACUGAGACACGGUCCAGACUCCUACGGGAGGCAGCAGUGGGGAAUAUUGCACAAUGGGCGCAAGCCUGAUGCAGCCAUGCCGCGUGUAUGAAGAAGGCCUUCGGGUUGUAAAGUACUUUCAGCGGGGAGGAAGGGAGUAAAGUUAAUACCUUU
rnacentral:rRNA from 1 species